AGUUCGAUUAUAAGCUCAGAUUGAACGCUGGCGGGAUGGCACAUGCAAGUCGAACGGCAGCACGGACUGGUCUGGUGGCGAGUGGCGAACGGGUGAGUAAUGUAUCCGGAACGUGCCUAGUGGCGAAGACGCUACGCCAGCUAAUACACAUACGCCCUUCGAAGCCAGGGACCUUCGGGCCUCACUAUUAAAACGGCAAGUAUCGGAUUAGCUAGUUGGUGCAGGUAACGGCUCACCAAGGCGACGAUCCGUAGCUGGCGGUUUGAGAGGACGUCAGCCACACUGGGACUGAGACGGCCCAGACUCUACGAGGCAGCGGUAGAAUUUUGGACAAUGGAAACCUGAUCAGCCAUCCCGCGUGUGCGAUGAAGGCCUUCGGGUUGUAAAGCACUUUUGGCAGGAAAAACGGCACGGGAUAAUGCCCGUGCAGCUGACGGUACCUGCAGAAUAGCACCGGCUAACUACGUGCCAACAGCCGCGGUAAUACGUAGGGUGCAAGCGUUAAUCGGAAUUACUGGGCGUAAAGCGUGCGCAGGCAGUUUCGGAAAGAAGAUGUGAAAUCCCAGAGCUUAACUUUGGAACUGCAUUUUUAACUUUACCGAGCUAGAGUGUGUCAGAGGAGGUGGAAUUCGCGAUGUAGCAGUGAAAUGCGUAGAUAUGCGGAGGAACAUGAUGGCGAAGGCAGCCUCCUGGGAUAACACUGACGCUCAUGCACGAAAAGCGUGGGAGCAAACAGGAUUAGAUACCCUGGUAGUCCGCUACAAACGAUGUCAACUAGCUGUUGGGGCCUUCGGGCCUUGGUAGCGCAACUAACGCGUGAGAUUAGAACCGCCUGAGAAAGUACGGUCGCAAGAUUAAAACUCAAAAGGAAUUGACGGGGACCGCACAAGCGUGGAUGAUGUGAUUAAUUCGAUGCAACGCGAAAAAAGCCUUUACCUACCCUUGACGCUGUCUGGAAUCCCGAAGAGAUUUGGGAGUGCUCGCAAAGAGAACCUUCCCGGAACCCACAGGUGCUGCGCGUGGCUGUCGGUAAACCAUUGUCGUGAGAUGUUGGGUUAAGUCCGCAACGAGCGCAGCCCUUGUCAUUAGUUGCUACGAAGGGCACUCUAAUGAGACUGCCGGUGACAAACCGGAGGAAGGUGGGGAUGACGUCAAGUCCUCAUGGCCCUUAUGGGUAGGGCUUCACACGUCAUACAAUGGUCCGCACCGGGACAGAGAUAGCCAACCCCCGCAGGGAGAGGCCAAUCCCAGAAACCCGGUCGUAGUCCGGAUCGCAGUCUGCAACUCGACUGCGUGAAGUCGGAAUCGCUAUUAAUCGCGGAUCAGCAUGUCGCGGUGAAUACGUUCCCGGGUCUUGUACACACCACCGCCCGUCGCACACCAUGGAGGUGGGUUUUACCAGAAGUAGUUAGCCUAACCGUAAGGAGAACGAUUACUAAAUUGAUUCGCUGACUGGGGUGAAGUCGUAACAAGGUAA
rnacentral:rRNA from 1 species